rnacentral:rRNA from 1 species
AUUGAACGCUGGCGGCAGGCUUAACACAUGCAAGUCGAGCGAGCGGCGGACGGGUGAGUAAUGUAUGGGGAUCUGCCUGAUAGAGGGGGAUAACUACUGGAAACGGUGGCUAAUACCGCAUACUAUCGGAUGUACCCAUAUGGGAUUAGCUAGUAGGUGGGGUAAUGGCUCACCUAGGCGACGAUCCCUAGCUGGUCUGAGAGGAUGACCAGCCACACUGGAACUGAGACACGGCCCAGACUCCGACGGGAGGCAGCAGUGGGGAAUAUUGCACAAUGGGCGCAAGCCUGAUGCAGCCAUGCCGCGUGUAUGAAGAAGGCCUUAGGGUUGUAAAGUACUUUCAGCGAGGAGGCGUUACCCGCAGAAGAAGCACCGGCUAACUCCGUGCCAGCAGCCGCGGUAAUAC